rnacentral:tRNA from 1 species
GCGGAUGUAGCCAAUUGGAUCAAAGGCAGUGGACUGUGAAUCCACCACGUGCGGGUUCGAUUCCCGUCGUUCGCC